UGGAGCUCCUUUGAACCACACUGGAGGGAGGCUGACCCUCACUCUAAUCCCAUUAGCACUGAUCUAUUCCCCACCCCUCGGAAAAGUUGCCUAAUAUCUGGCAGAGGCAUGCCACCCCAAACUGCCUAGCUACCACACAAACUUUCUUCGGGCCAGAGGUUGGGGCCUCUGGGGCGACUGUGCUGUGGGGCAUCUGGGUUAUAUGCGGCUCCCAGUGGAGACCCAGAAAAGCAGCUGGGCGCCUGAGGCCCAGCACAACUAGGUUCACCUCCUUGCAAGGCGGGAACGCCUUAGAAGUCCCGUGAUAUGGUAGGGAGGAAGUGGGGGGAGGGGAACCCUUAGCUCCGAAUUCUGGAAGACUCCGGGAGUCGGGAGUCGCUUGGAGGAAGGGGAAUCCGUCGGGAUACCACAGCCCAGCCCCAGUGAGAGCCACUGAGGCCGCCAGAAUAUUCAUAGGGUGCCAAAUGUGAAUGCGGAUAUGCUGUGCAACCUUGGCCAAGUUCCUAUCUGUUUCUGAGGUAAACACUGAGACACACCCCAAAACAAUAUGUGCAAUUUCUCUAGCCACAAGAACCUAUGCACGCACCCGCGCGCACGCGCGCGCGAGCACACACACACACACCGGCGUCUGUGCUUCACACACAUGUAGCAGCAGCUCUCACACAUGACAGCCCUCAGAGCCACUUAGAGUCUCACACACACACCCUUUGCUCUGACUCUGAAUCACCAUCAUAACCAGAGGACUGUCCGGUAGUUUUUGCUGGGGAGGAUAACAAAAGAUCAAACCUGAAAGUCGAGUGUGUGGAGGGAUGGUCUGAGGGUGGCUCUGUGUCAAGUUGGAAUUUAUGGCUUUCUUGCCUCUCAGGGUUGGGCUGAAGAGCAAAAGCCAGGCUUAUGGCGCCCCCUGGUGCCUGAACUAAUUCCUCCCCUGCACACCCGUGGGCACUGUAGACAGAACCUGCUUCCAUCCACCCGGUUGCCAGAGCAAACUGCACAUAUACAUAUAACAUAGUAAUGGGCUCGGCCUAUUUGACCAAGGCCUAUUUGUGUUCAAGUCCUGCCAAAGAUGCUAACUGCAAAAUUGGCUGGUUCAUUAUCUGUAAGAUGGAGCACACAGCAGGGCCUGGGCUGUGGGGUUGUGGGAACAGAAUAUAACCAUAGCUAAAGGCUUAGAGUAACACUGUCACCUAGUACACAGCAACACUGGGCACUUUUGUUCUCUCUGUUGCUCUACUACUUGGUUGGGCUUUGGUUGUCAAUGCUGUUGUUGAGACAAGGGUCAUGUAGCCCAGGAUGGCCCUGAAAUUGCCCUGUAAUCAAGGACAAGGUUGAACUUCACCCUCCUGACUUUACCUCCCGAGUUCCAGGCUUAGAAAUAUGCAACAAACAGCAAUAGGGCUUGUGAUGCUAAGAACUGAACCCGGGGCUUUUUUGCACGUCAGGCAGGGAUGCUGGCAAAUGAGCCACACCCUCCCCCAACCCAAAGGAUAACAUUUGAUGGAUGGUUUUUAAUGUAUAUAGAUAUACUGUCUGCAUGAACGUGUACCAUGUGCAUGCCUGGUGCUCUCGGAGGUCAGAGGAGAGCAUUGCAUCCCCUGGAAUCAGAAUUCCAGAUGAUUGUGUUCUAAUUACCAUGUGAGUCUUGGUGAUCAGAUCCAGGUCCUCCGGAAAAACAGCCAGAGCUCUUAACUACUGAACUAUCUCUCCAGUCCCAGACUGGAAGUCCCAGACUGCUUUUAUGGCUCAGAAUAAAUAUUAUGUGAAAAACACCCCAGAAAGCUCUUGUACUGGCUGGUUUUGUGUGUCAACUCGACACAGGCUGGAGUUAUCAUAGAGAAAGGAACUUCAGUUGGGGAAGUGCCUCCAUGAGAUCCAGCUGUGGGGCAUCUUCUCAAUUAGUUAUCAAGGUUGGGGAGGGCCUCUUUUGGGUGGUGCCAUCCCUGGGCUGGUAGUCUUGGGUUCUGUUAGAGAGCAGGCUGAACAAGCCAGUAAGAAACAUCCCUCCAUGGCUUCUGCAUCAGCUCCUGCUUCCUGACCUGUUUGAGUUCCAGUCCUGACCUCCUUUGGUGAUGAACAGCAAUGUGGAAGUGUAAGCUGAAUAAACCCUUUCCUCCCCAACUUACUUCUUGGUCAUGAUGUUUGUGCAGGAAUAGAAGCCCUGACUAAGGCAAAUUAGUACCAGCGUAGUGGGCUAUUCCUGUGACAACCAAACCAUAUUUUGGGGAGGACUGUGGAAGGACUUUGGAACUUUGGGCUAGACGAUCUAUUCAGUGUUAAGAGCUCUGUGUAGGAGCUUGGAAGAUAAUGUUGAGAACAGCAUAGAAGAUGGAGGCCUGGCUUGUGAAAUUUCAGAGGGAAGAUUAAAGACUCUUAUCAGGACCCUGUUUUGAUUGUGAAGAUUCUGUGGUUUUGGUUAGCUGGGGCUGAAGAAUCAGCUGUGAUUAACAAGAUACCAGAACCACUAAAGCAAACCUUUGUGUUACUGGGACUAUUGAUGCUGGUCAGCUGGAGCUAAGAAAUUAGUGGUGAUUAAGAAGAGACCAGCAUCACUGAGAUGAAAUCUUCUGGGAAGUGUUUUCUGAGAGUACAGAAGCUGUGUGCCAGAGAUAGCCACAGUUGUACUUUGUGCUGUGGCUGGACUUGGUAAUGUGUAAGAGUCACCCGGGUGGUACUGGUUUUGAAGGCAUGAAGGGGUCAUGAAGAGCAGCUGAGGCUUGGCACUGUGAGAGGCCACGGAAGGCCAUUGGUGAAGGUUCUAAGUUGCAAUUGAUGGCCCAGGACUGAAGACGUCAUGCAUAGGAGUUGAGGCUUGGCACCAUGAAGAGAGCCUAUGAGAGGCUAUUGGUGAAGCCUAGUUACAGCGGAAGACAGCAGUGUUCUUGGAGAUGCCAGUGCCAUGAGAUGACCACCAAGAACAGCAGCAGAAGUGGAGUACAGGCAGCUGGAGCCUAGAGGAUAAGCUGUGUACUACAAAGGGCAGAGCUGGAGAAGUGACCCACGCCCUUGGAGGAGCCCAGAAGAUUGUGAGUUGGAUUCCAGACAAUGGACGGUGCCCACCGCACAGGUGAAUGUCCACAGAUGGUAGCCAGACCCUGCCGUCAGGGUAUCUCCGGAAGUGCGAGUCCAAGAAUAGGCAUGAAGAGAGAGAGGAGAGGCUGCCGCCUCGGCUUUGGCUCGCAUGGUAUCUACUAAACAAGCGUCAGAAGAAAACCAACACUUCAUCUUCCUUUCUGUCCGAUCGUGUGGAGACACAGAUGUCACAGGAGAACCCAGGGUUUAGAGGCCCUGCAAUCCCACCCGGUGUCUACAAAGAUUGCAGAAAUGAGAGACACCAUUAGGAGGGGGAAAAACCUGUAUGGUGUGAGAACUUGAGGUUACAACCCAAUACUAGUGGCUAGAUUUGAGGAUUGUAGCUCAUCACAAAAUGCAACAUCGUCACAUUGUCAAGCAGGUGGGACAGACAACACACACGUCUCUAAAUUUAUCCCAGCGAUGCAGAGCCGUGAGCCUUGAGCCCUGGAGGAGACACUGUCCCCCUGCAAGGCCCCACCUUGACAAGGAGAUAGCUGUAUCCUGGAGCCUUUCCUGGCUGCGACGGAGGUGAUCAUAAUAGAGAAUCUGCUUGAUGAACAUCCUGUGAUUUCUUCAUGGAAACACGCGUGCUGUGCCUGGAGAUACGAGGGGCCUUUGCCGGAUGACCGAUGACUUUGACGUGGCACAGGGCAUGCAGCUACAGGAACACGUGUGGCUCUGCCGGGAGGAGAAGUGAGUGAUGACUUCAACGCUGACUCAGCUCAUCCCGUCUUCCGCAUGGUCGGUUCUUCGUGCACCAACUUGGGCAGACUUAGGGGAUGAUACUCAUGAAGCUAUUGAAGACCAGCCAGAGCAACCUCACUCUGACCCUCCCAGUGUGGUAUUUACCCAGCAAUGGGGAUGGGAAGCUUCGCCUUAUUUUCAACCAAAUUAGCUCAUGACACUGAACAUUGGACUAGCAUUUUCUCAUAGAUAUCCUUUCCUGCCCAUUACUGCCAGCUCAUCAUCCAAGACCCAGAGGCAAUAUGCCUUCAGCAGCGAUGGCAUGAGCCCCCAGGCCAAGCGAUGGUUUAGCAUGUAUAAACUCAUGACGUACGUCACAAGCCUGCUCACCGAAGAGACUCUCCUUUGUGAACAGGCUCAGGCAAAGGACUUAGGACCGAGAUCUUAAUCUCAAAAAAGAAGGGAUCCUCAAGGUGGCCAGAAAAGUCCCAGGCCCUUCGUCCCUGUGCUGGUCAAGCUGACACAAGCUAGGGUCAUCUGUUAGAAGGGAACCUCGAUUCAUACCCCCAAGGGCUGGAGAGAUGGCUCAGUGCUUAAGUGCAUUAGAUGCUCCUCCAGAGGUCCUGAGUUCAAAUCUCAGCAAUGACAUGAUGACUCACAACCAUCUGUGAUGGCAUCUUAUGCCCUCUUCUGGUGUGUCUGAAAAUAGCAACAGUGUACUCACAUAUAUAAGAUAAAUAAAUCUUAGAAAGAAAGGAAGGAAGAGAGAGAGAGAGGAGAGAAAGAGAGAGAGAGAGAGAGAGAGAGAGAGAGAGAACACAUAAGAUCAGGCUGUAAAGCAUUUUCUUAAUUAGUGAUGGGGGAGAGCCCAGCCCACUGUGGGUGUGGCCAUCCUGGACUGGUGGUCCUGGGUCCUAUAAGAAAGCAGGCUGAGCAAGCCACGGGGAGCAAGCCUGCAAGCAGCACCCCUCCAUGGCCUCUGCAUCAGUUCCUGCCUCCAGGUUUCCUGUCCUGCUUGAGUUCCUGUCCUGACCUCCUUCAAUGAUGAACAGUGCUGUGGAAGUGUUAGCUUCCCUCCCCAA